rnacentral:rRNA from 1 species
GAUGAACGCUAGCGGCAGGCUUAACACAUGCAAGUCGAGGGGUAGAGGCUUUCGGGCCUUGAGACCGGCGCACGGGUGCGUAACGCGUAUGCAAUCUGCCUUGUACUGGGGGAUAGCCCAGAGAAAUUUGGAUUAAUACCCCAUAGUAUUUUCGGUUGGCAUCAACUGAUUAUUAAAGUUUUUCGGUACAAGAUGAGCAUGCGUCCCAUUAGCUAGUUGGUAUGGUAACGGCAUACCAAGGCUACGAUGGGUAGGGGUCCUGAGAGGGAGAUCCCCCACACUGGUACUGAGACACGGACCAGACUCCUACGGGAGGCAGCAGUGAGGAAUAUUGGUCAAUGGUCGCAAGACUGAACCAGCCAUGCCGCGUGCAGGAUGAAGCAUCUAUGGUGUGUAAACUGCUUUUGUACGGGAAGAAACACUCCUACGUGUAGGGGCUUGACGGUACCGUAAGAAUAAGGAUCGGCUAACUCCGUGCCAGCCGCCGCCGCGGUAA